rnacentral:lncRNA from 1 species
UAUGUUUUCAUAUAUUACCACAGCAUGACUACUGAAAAAACUGCCAAUCAUUUAACCUCGUGUUUUGUUUCUUUUUUUUCUUUUUUUGCUUCCCAGAAAUGAAUUCCCUUAUUGUGAGAAAUCCUGAUUAUUAAUCGAUGCAGAAAGCAAAGGGGCUGAUGUUCUACUGGGUGUUCUGCACAACAUGUUGCUGGAAAAAAGGAAUGUGCAAUGGAGAUUGUUAAUAUGGAAGUAUCCUAAGAAAUGGCAUACCGUUUGAGAAAAUAAAUACACUAGACUUUGGCACGAAGGAUAAUUAAUUUUACCAUGAAUUAAUGGAGACAGGUUUUUUAUCUUCUUCAUCACCAGAAAUAGUCCCCUUAAUAAGAAACUCUUCCCCAGAUCUGGAAGUUCUGAUCUGAUUCAGUAAGGCUGGGUCACAGGUGUGCAGAGAUAUCAAAUAAUCUAUUGAGAUCAUGCAAAGACUCUGGAAAUACAAUCCCAGCAAGUCCUGGCUAUAGCACUUUUGAUAUCCUCGUCAGUGGCCACAGUCCUGCAAGUUUUGACGGUAAGAAAAUGGGUUCUUAUGUACAUUAUAUGCAUUAUAGUAUCUUAAAGCCUUUUGAAUUUGGAUAAAUCUAAAAAAGAAAAAUUUCUGUUG